rnacentral:rRNA from 1 species
UAGGGAAUCUUCGGCAAUGGACGAAAGUCUGACCGAGCAACGCCGCGUGAGUGAAGAAGGUUUUCGGAUCGUAAAACUCUGUUGUUAGAGAAGAACAAGGACGUUAGUAACUGAACGUCCCCUGACGGUAUCUAACCAGAAAGCCACGGCUAACUACGUGCCAGCAGCCGCGGUAAUACGUAGGUGGCAAGCGUUGUCCGGAUUUAUUGGGCGUAAAGCGAGCGCAGGCGGUUUCUUAAGUCUGAUGUGAAAGCCCCCGGCUCAACCGGGGAGGGUCAUUGGAAACUGGGAGACUUGAGUGCAGAAGAGGGGGGUGGAAUUCCAUGUGUAGCGGUGAAAUGCGUAGAUAUAUGGAGGAACACCAGUGGCGAAGGCGGCUCUCUGGACUGUAACUGACGCUGAGGCUCGAGAGCGUGGGGAGCAAACAGG